AUUGAACGCUGGCGGCAGGCCUAACACAUGCAAGUCGAGCGCGAAAGUUUCUUCGGAAGCGAGUAGAGCGGCGGACGGGUGAGUAACGCGUAGGAAUCUACCCAGUAGUGGGGGACAACUCGGGGAAACCCGAGCUAAUACCGCAUACGCCCUAAGGGGGAAAGCAGGGGAUCUUCGGACCUUGCGCUAUCGGAUGAGCCUGCGUCGGAUUAGCUUGUUGGUGAGGUAAUGGCUCACCAAGGCGACGAUCCGUAGCUGGUCUGAGAGGAUGAUCAGCCACACUGGGACUGAGACACGGCCCAGACUCCUACGGGAGGCAGCAGUGGGGAAUAUUGGACAAUGGGGGAAACCCUGAUCCAGCCAUGCCGCGUGUGUGAAGAAGGCUCUAGGGUUGUAAAGCACUUUCAGUAGGGAGGAAAAGUUGAUAGCUAAUAACUGUCAGCCCUGACGUUACCUACAGAAGAAGCACCGGCAAACUCCGUGCCAGCAGCCGCGGUAAUACGGAGGGUGCGAGCGUUAAUCGGAAUUACUGGGCGUAAAGCGCGCGUAGGCGGUUUGAUAAGCUGGAUGUGAAAGCCCCGGGCUCAACCUGGGAACUGCAUCCAGAACUGUCUGACUAGAGUACAGUAGAGGUGAGUGGAAUUUCCUGUGUAGCGGUGAAAUGCGUAGAUAUAGGAAGGAACAUCAGUGGCGAAGGCGGCUCACUGGACUGAUACUGACGCUGA
rnacentral:rRNA from 1 species